GUAGUCAUAUGCUUGUCUCAAAGAUUAAGCCAUGCAGUCUAGUAUAGCAAUUAUACAGCGAAACUGCGAAUGGCUCAUUAAAUCAGUUAUCGUUUAUUUGAUAGUACCUUACUACUUGGAUAACCGUGGUAAUUCUAGAGCUAAUACAUGCUAAAAACCCCGACUCACGAAGGGGUGUAUUUAUUAGAUUAAAAACCAAUGCCCUUCGGGGCUCUUUGGUGAUUCAUAAUAACUUUUCGAAUCGCAUGGCCUUGCGCCGGCGAUGGUUCAUUCAAAUUUCUGCCCUAUCAACUUUCGAUGGCAGGGUCUUGGCCUGCCAUGGUUACAACGGGUAACGGGGAAUGGGGCGGGGGCGGCGGGCCGGGCGCGGGGCGCGGCGGGCG
rnacentral:rRNA from 1 species